GAUGAACGCUAGCGGCAGGCUUAAUACAUGCAAGUCGUGGGGCAGCAUGAGUAGCAAUACUUGAUGGCGACCGGCAAACGGGUGCGGAACACGUACACAACCUUCCGAUAAGUGGGGAAUAGCCCAGAGAAAUUUGGAUUAAUACCCCGUAACAUAUAGAGUAGGCAUCUUCUUUAUAUUAUAGCUUCGGCGCUUAUUGAUGGGUGUGCGUCUGAUUAGGUAGUUGGCGGGGUAACGGCCCACCAAGCCUACGAUCAGUAGCUGAUGUGAGAGCAGGAUCAGCCACACGGGCACGGAUACACGGGCCCGACUGCUACGGGAGGCAGCAGUAAGGAAUAUUGGACAAUGGGCGAAAGCCUGAUCCAGCCAUGCCGCGUGAAGGAUUAAGGUCCUCUGGAUUGUAAACUUCUUUUAUUUGGGACGAAAAAAGGGAAUUCUUUCCCACUUGACGGUACCAAGUGAAUAAGCACCGGCUAACUCCGUGCCAGCAGCCGCCGUAA
rnacentral:rRNA from 1 species